rnacentral:rRNA from 1 species
AGUGAACGCUGGCGGUAGGCCUAACACAUGCAAGUCGAACGGCAGCACAGUAAGAGCUUGCUCUUACGGGUGGCGAGUGGCGGACGGGUGAGGAAUACAUCGGAAUCUACUUUUUCGUGGGGGAUAACGUAGGGAAACUUACGCUAAUACCGCAUACGACCUACGGGUGAAAGCAGGGGAUCUUCGGACCUUGCGCGAUUGAAUGAGCCGAUGUCGGAUUAGCUAGUUGGCGGGGUAAAGGCCCACCAAGGCGACGAUCCGUAGCUGGUCUGAGAGGAUGAUCGGCCACACUGGAACUGAGACACGGUCCAGACUCCUACGGGACGCAGCAGUGGGGAAUAUUGGACAAUGGGCGCAAGCAUGGUCCAGCCAUACCGCGUCGGUGAAGAAGGCCUUCCGGUUGUAAAGACCUUUUGUUGGGAAAGAAAAGCAGCAGGUUAAUACCACGCUGUUCUGACGGUACCCAAAGAAUAAGCACCGGCUAACUUCGUG